UACGUAGGGUGCGAGCGUUGUCCGGAAUUAUUGGGCGUAAAGAGCUCGUGGGCGGUCUGUCGCGUCGGAUGUGAAAAUCCAGGGCUCAACCCUGGACCUGCAUUCGAUACGGGCAGACUAGAGUUCGGUAGGGGAGACUGGAAUUCCUGGUGUAGCGGUGAAAUGCGCAGAUAUCAGGAGGAACACCGGUGGCGAAGGCGGGUCUCUGGGCCGAAACUGACGCUGAGGAGCGAAAGCGUGGGGAGCAAACAGG
rnacentral:rRNA from 1 species